AACGUAGGAGACAAACGUUAUCCGGAGUUACUGGGCGUAAAGGGCGUGUAGGUGGUUGCGUAAGUCUGGCGUGAAAUAUCUCGGCUUAACCGAGGCAGGUCGUCGGAUACUGCGUAACUGGAGGACGGUAGAGGCGUGUGGAAUUCCGGGUGUAGUGGUGAAAUGCGUAGAGAUCCGGAGGGACACCAGUGGCGAAGGCGACACGCUGGGCCAUACCUGACGCUAAAGCGCGACAGCAUGGGGAGCAAACGGG
rnacentral:rRNA from 1 species